rnacentral:rRNA from 1 species
AUUGAACGCUGGCGGCAGGCUUAACACAUGCAAGUCGAGCGGAGAUGAGGUGCUUGCACCUUAUCUUAGCGGCGGACGGGUGAGUAAUGCUUAGGAAUCUGCCUAUUAGUGGGGGACAACAUUCCGAAAGGAAUGCUAAUACCGCAUACGUCCUACGGGAGAAAGCAGGGGAUCUUCGGACCUUGCGCUAAUAGAUGAGCCUAAGUCGGAUUAGCUAGGUGGUGGGGUAAAGGCCUACCAAGGCGACGAUCUGUAGCGGGCCUGAGAGGAUGAUCCGCCACACUGGGCCUGAGACACGGCCCAGACUCCUACGGGGGGCAGCAGUGGGGAAUAUCGGACAAUGGGGGGAACCCUGAUCCAGCCAUGCCGCGUGUGUGAAGAAGGCCUUAUGGUUGUAAAGCACUUUAAGCGAGGAGGAGGCUACUGAGACUAAUACUCUUGGAUAGUGGACGUUACUCGCAGAAUAAGCACCGGCUAACUCUGUGCCAGCAGCCGCGGUAACAC